UUCAUGGCCGGGCUGUGGGCGUGGGAGAGGGGCUGGGUGUGAAUAAAAUCCGCGGUGGGUUAAACCUCACGGGUAAAUGGCUUGAAAAGAAACGAAACACAAUUUAAGAUAAAAAUUUAUCCGCGCAAGACUCGGAGAGGUUGCAGCGAAAGGCCAGGGAGGAGCCGAAGGCACUGGAGCAUCUCUGCUGUGAGGGAAGGCUGAGCUGGGGUUCUUCGACGCCGAGAAGAGAUGGCUGGAAGGGGAUUUUACCCUGGAACAGAUGCUCAGAGAUGGUGUGGAGUCUCCUCCCUGGGGAUGUUCAGACCUGUUGAGACACAAUCCCGUGCCCUGUGCUCCUGAAACUUGCCAGCAGAGUCCUGUCCCGGUGUGAGGUUGGUGGCAUCACCAGGAACGGGUCAUGGGAUGCAAACCCGGCCGAUGCACCCCGGAAAGUUCAAUGCAGCUGCCUCUGCACUGCCCAACUCCCACACAAACGCUGUCUCGUCAUUUAUUAUCGUUUCCUUCCCCUUAAAAAACCCUCAAAAAAGCCAUAUCGUGGCCCUGGGAUUUCUCUCUAAUAAAAUGUUCUAUUUUUA